rnacentral:rRNA from 1 species
UCCAGCCUGCCCAGUGACUCUGUUCAACGGCCGCGGUAUUCUAACCGUGCAAAGGUAGCGUAAUCACUUGUUUUCUAAAUAAAGACCAGUAUGAAAGGCAUUACGAGGGUUAAACUGUCUCCUUUUUCUAAUCAGUAAACCUAAUCUCCCCGUGAAGAAGCGGGGAUUCCCAUAUAAGACGAGAAGACCCUAUGGAGCUUUAAACACUUUAACACCUGCUAAACUCUGACUAUUCCGAUAUUACACCUAAUAGCACGCUAAUUAUAAGUUUUUGGUUGGGGUGACCGCGGAGAAAAACUAAUCCUCCACAAUGAAAGGGACCUCCCUAAGCAAUAAGCUACAACUUUAAGCAUCAAUAAAUUGACAUCCAUUGACCCAAUACUUGACCAACGAACCAAGUUACCCUAGGGAUAACAGCGCAAUCCACUUUAAGAGCCCAUAUCGACAAGUGGGCUUACGACCUCGAUGUUGGAUCGGGGUAUCCUAGUGGUGUAGCCGCUACUAAA